rnacentral:rRNA from 1 species
CCCUAUGAAUAAUUUAAAUGGCCGCAGUACUUUGACUGUGCAAAGGUAGCAUAAUCACUUGUCUUUUAAUUGAAGGCUGGAAUGAAAGAGGCGACGAGAAUUGGGCUCUUGGUUUAUAAUAUGAAAUUGACAUAAAGAUCAAAAGGUCUUCAUGGCUCAAAGGGACGAUAAGACCCUAUAAAACUUUACUAUAAUGCUAGUUAUAUAGGCAAACUUAAAUAUUUAUAGUUUAGCUGGGGCGGCUUUUAUAAAAACAAUUAUAAUAUAAAUAUAUUUAAUAAAGGUUUAGAACUCCUGUAGGAAAUGAGUAAGUUACUUUAGGGAUAACAGCAUAAUUCUCCCAGAGAGUCCUUAUUGGCGGGUGAGCUUAUGACCUCGAUGUUGAAUUGGGGUGUCUAAUAUAAGCAGAAGUAUAUUAAGAUAGUCUGUUCGACUAUUGAAUCCCC